rnacentral:antisense_RNA from 1 species
UUUGAUCGAGCCCAGCCAGAGCGGCUCCGCCCUAUCUUGGCCAUAGGUAGCCAACAACGCUUGCGCCUC